CAUAAACCGCACUGUUAUUUUGUUAAGCAGCCAAAUGCACUGACAUUUAGAUUCAAAAUGACUCAUAGGACAUUCUGAUACUAGGAUCUAACUAGUACAUUUUAUACAUGAAAGAGAAUCCGUGCUCAGGGCUCAAAGUUACAGAGCGGAAAUACGCUUCGCCUCCUGAGCUGAACACGGUGACUAUGCACAUAUCUGCUGCAUUUUAAAUCUCACACUCAAAAGUAAGCUUGAGACAGUUCGGCUAUGUACCGAUCGAAACGCGUAGGUGAAAGGAAUCCAGCACCCUAUGUGGUUUUAACAGCUUUUUCUAUGACUGAUCCACUGACCGGGGGACGCUCCGGUGUAGCGUGACGUCAGACGCAGACUUUUGUUAUCGGCAAGGGGAACAUCUACGACACUCAGCUAACAGUGUGAGGCUAAACCUCCACUGCAUGUCCCUGAAAAUAAUCACUGAGAAUGUUCCUGGUUUUAAAUUGACACUACAUCUCCUUAUGCUAUACCUCCUCCUCUCAUCUGGAAUUUAAUUUCACUGAUCCAUGCUUCCCUUUGGAUGUCUAAUGCUCAUAAACAUCUCUGAGAAUCAUCAUGUCUCCUGCAAGGUUUGCAAAUUAGCUAACACCAUGACUCCCUGCAUUCUAAUAAUUGGAAAUGCUCCUGUAAACGAAAAUCUGGAGUCAUCUAAAUAUAAGUAUACAUCACUUAUUUAGAAGGUUUACUGGCUAGAUAAACAUCUGAUUUAGUUUGUAUCUUGCUUUUCUGCUUGAAACUCUAUUGAUCUACUGCAAAAAGAAUGGCAAUAAAAAUACACCAAACUAA